CCCUCCGACGAAAGAAGCA
rnacentral:snRNA from 1 species